rnacentral:rRNA from 1 species
AACGAACGCUGGCGGCGUGGAUAAGACAUGCAAGUCGAGCGCGACUUGGAUCGUAGCAAUACGGUGCAAGUUGAGCGGCGCAAGGGUGCGUAACACGUGGGUAAUUUGCCGUAGAGUUGGGGAUAACCCCGAGAAAUCGGGGCUAAUACCGGAUGUGGUCACUGAGGGGCAUCUUUUGGUGACUAAAGCUGGGGACCGCAAGGCCUGGCGCUCUAUGAUAAGCCCGCGGCCUAUCAGCUAGUUGGUGGGGUAACGGCUCACCAAGGCUAAGACGGGUAGCUGGUCUGAGAGGACGACCAGCCACACUGGAACUGAGACACGGUCCAGACACCUACGGGUGGCAGCAGUCGAGAAUUUUUUCNCAAUGGGGGCAACCCUGAAGGAGCGACGCCGCGUGGGGGAUGAAGGGUUUCGAUCCGUAAACCCCUGUCAUUCGCGAACAAAGCUUACUGUUUAAGAGAUGGUGAGUUGAUAGUAGCGGAAGAGGAAGGGACGGCUAACUCUGUGCC